AUUCUAUUCAGCACAAACCGACAUGAGUUUCUUCUUCCUGUGCCGUUAACUGACACGUUUGUUGGUGGAGGCGUACUUUCACACCCAACCAAACAUGAAGCUUGGAGGAGAAGGAGCAGCUGGACUUGACGUUGUGUUGUUCUGGUUCAUGGGACCUUGGUAACGUUCGCUGAUCACGACCCCUUUGACUAUCAAAGCGCCCGAUCUACGCCGUCGGAUUCUUCCCGCUAGUCGUCUUGUUUCCCCUCCGCCUGUAGCCUUGGAGACGACACACAGCAGAGGCUUCUGGGUUGAAGCCUCCGUCCGUCAUCACAGAGAAGAAGAAGAAGAAGAAGAAGAAGAAGAAGAAGAAGAAGAAGAAGAAGAAGAAGAAGAAUUGCCACGUAUUAUUUUACACGUACAGGAAAUUGUUCUGUGCAUUUAACCCGUCCUGCACAGUGGGUGCUGCCGUACAGCAGUCAGGGGUCAGGGGUCACGGUGCACCCGCUCUACUCCGGGUCGCCCCGAGCAUAACGGAGUCGUCGGCUCACGUUAAGAUGCAGCCGCGAUGACAUCGCCGCCCCGGCAGAACAAGUCGGUCCUGUAUGACGGAGCAGCCGGACCACCCACGCGGGCCGCUCCAGCGAGCUCUGAGACCCCGUCUGGAUUCACAACGGUUCUGCCAAAAUGAAAGCAGAGUUUAAAUCAAACUGGCAGAAGAUUAGAAACGGGUGGAGAUCCUCCAUCUGCAGCUCCCGAAGGCACGAGCUGUGGGCUCCGACAUCCCCAAUGACGGACACGCGAGAUCCCGGACGUCUCCAGAGACCGGAACCAAAGCCAACGCGAGCUUCACAGAGACACAACCGGAGGUCUCCGGUGUUUGUUUGAGCCCCUCCGCUCACGCACGGCGUCCCUCUUCCCCCCACGACGCGCGUUCUUCCCACAGCGAACAAUCGGCACCGUUCGUCUCCGGCGUUUGGUCCCCCGGAGGCCGACGUGGGACUGCAGCGACGUGUUGUGUCUCUGCCUACGAGACAUUGGUCGGGCCAGACAGCUCGAUGGAAACCACAGCCGCCCCCCCCCUAGAUCCCCCCCCCGUCCCUCCAUCCAUCCAUCCAUCCCUCCGUCAGCCUCCUCCUCCUCCUCCUCUGAACUCGACUCGCGGGCUCCGGCAUUCCUUUGUCCUGAUGCAUCAACUGUAAUGAGUUAGUGGUUGGAAAAGAAAUGGAGACUCGACUGGCUUCGGGAAAAUUACACAGCGUGUUUCCAGAGAGUCAAACUGUCGGAAGAGCAGAAGAGCGUCGCCGACUUUAGUCCCUCGGAGGCCGCUGCCGCAGCAGCAUCUGCACACAUCAGGAAGCCGAGCAGGGAAGCAGAGGAAAUAACUCAUUAGAGGGGAAGCCUUUCCGUCCCCGCUCAAAGCUCCGUAUUCCAGGACCCCCCCCUGUGACCUGAAUGACGACAACCAGCAGAAUUAUUGUUAAUCGAUGCUGCUCAAGUUGAUGCUUUUUACUUUUUCUUCUGACAGCUUCUCUUGAUUUAUUAAAGAUACGUUGCGUUUAGUUCAGGUGAA
ensembl:lncRNA